rnacentral:lncRNA from 1 species
UUUUGUGUUAAUUAAUUUUCUGAUACUAAAGUUAAGAAAUACAGGACGUAACACACAAAAUACUGGAAUUUGGAAUAGAACUACUGAAACUUAUAUAAGGAGGGAUCGGAGAGGAAGCAGGUGGAAAUUGCAACCUUUGCAUAAGUGAUUUUUUUUAAUAGAUGAGAUGGAUUAAUCUGCAUAUAUAUACUAGUGCAUUUUUGAA